UACGUAGGGUGCAAGCGUUGUCCGGAAUUAUUGGGCGUAAAGAGCUCGUAGGCGGUCUGUCGCGUCGGCUGUGAAAUCCCGAGGCUCAACCUCGGGUCUGCAGUCGAUACGGGCAAACUAGAGUAUUGCAGGGGAGACUGGAAUUCCUGGUGUAGCGGUGAAAUGCGCAGAUAUCAGGAGGAACACCGGUGGCGAAGGCGGGUCUCUGGGCAGUAACUGACGCUGAGGAGCGAAAGCGUGGGGAGCGAACAGG
rnacentral:rRNA from 1 species